rnacentral:rRNA from 1 species
UACGAAGGGAGCUAGCGUUGUUCGGAAUCACUGGGCGUAAAGCGCACGUAGGCGGAUGUGUCAGUCAGGGGUGAAAUCCCGGAGCUCAACUUCGGAACUGCCCUUGAUACAGCACGUCUUGAGUCCGGAAGAGGUGGGUGGAAUUCCUAGUGUAGAGGUGAAAUUCGUAGAUAUUAGGAAGAACACCGGUGGCGAAGGCGGCCCACUGGUCCGGUACUGACGCUGAGGUGCGAAGGCGUGGGGAGCAAACAGG